rnacentral:rRNA from 1 species
UACAGAGGGGGCAAGCGUUGUGCGGAAUUGCUGGGCGUAGAGGGCGCGUAGGCGGCCUUCUAAGUCGAACGUGAAAUCCCCGGGCUCAACCCGGGAACUGCGUCCGAUACUGGAAGGCUUGAAUCCGGGAGAGGGAUGCGGAAUUCCAGGUGUAGCGGUGAAAUGCGUAGAUAUCUGGAGGAACACCGGUGGCGAAGGCGGCAUCCUGGACCGGCAUUGACGCUGAGGCGCGAAAGCCAGGGGAGCAAACGGG